rnacentral:lncRNA from 1 species
AAGCAAUUUGCUCAUAGCCAUAGCUUUCUUGUGAAAGUAGGAUAUUAACCCAGGUGUCUUGGUGCUGGAGAACAGAACUGGCCAGAGUCCAUCCUGUCUCCCACCGGCAUCCCAUUACGAAAUGAACACAGAAAAGGCAGGUCUGCAAUGCCAACAUCUAGUAUCUAUCCCAAAGACCAGGGAGAAAGGAAGGAAAGAUUCUGGUUCUGUCCUCUUCCCCAAGGCAAGGCUGGCUGCCCUACCAACAGAGGCAAAGAGAAGAGUGUGCAAGGCUGGCUGCCCUCCCAACAGAGGCAAAGAGGAGUGUGUGUUGAAAUAUCCAUUGAAUCCCUGAGACAACUGGAUCCUGGCCCAUUGAAUCAUAAACUCACUGAAAUUUUUAAUAUAAUGCCUCUUAGCCUGGUUUGGAGAAAACGUCACAGAGAGGCACCAUUUGUUGUGGUUUUACAUGAAAAUUUUCUGACCCUGAACCUGGUUUGAUGGAAAUCAUUUGCUGAGGUUAUUUAGAAAAUUGUUACCUCAAAAAUGACCUAGGGGUCCUUAGAAUAAUAACACACAGAAGAAUAGCCUCAUUUUUCUGUUGGGCCCAGGAAACCAUGCCGAUUACCGACCGAGCUCUCAAUGGAAAAAUGCAGUCGGCGUGAACCACGCACGAACACAGCAGAGAAAGAAGAAAACACACACCACGAGGAACCCUAAUAGGACAAUACAUUAUAAGCCUCAUGGUACAUCCACUUGGUGUGCUGGGAGAGUCAGGAUGAGGACCUGAGAAGAACAGCAGCUUGAACCUGACUUCAUUUAACAGCCCACUGCCCUCUUGCCAAGAACCCAUCACAGACCUUCCCAGAAGAGAGGGAUGAGCCUCACCUAUGAAUAAGUCCUCAGAAACUCAAAUUUGAUUCUAAUGGAUUGUUUUCUCAGAAAGACUGAGCAUGUCCCCCCACAUCUCUGUCAUUUCCCACAGUAGUAACCUCUGCAGAUGCCACAUAGAAAACAAAACAAAACAAAAAAACAUGAGGUUGGUGGGCAGAUAGGCAGGGUAUAAACAAACAGCCUUGUAACCCAGAAGCUGUGUGAUAUACAGUAAACUUCACAACACUGAAAAGAUGUCCUAUCUGUUAAAAUGGGGUAAUAACAACUACCCGAAUGUUUAGGAAUAGAACUUCAAUAAAUGAUACAUUUUAUAGUACAGCAGACCAUCCUGUAAAGGUUUCAUCCUUCACUGUGGUGAUAAAUAUCCCAAACCACAUUGAAAAGCAUUGCAUCUACAUUUAUCUACACUGUAACUGUACUGUAAAUCAUGGGGGAGGGGAGAAUCAUAAAAACACCACCUGUCACCGUGUCAUUAAAGCAAGUUGGAAGUGAUACUUACAGAAACACAGCAAGAGCACCCCCAGUCACACAGUUCAAUCUCUUAGCAAGCGUUUUCUUUCUAGCCCAGUGGUUCUCAGUUUGGAAUUUUUGGCACUGCCUAGAGAUAGUUUUGUUGUUAAAACUGAGAAAAGAGCCGGGCGUGGUGGCACACGCCUUUAAUCCCAGCACUCAGGAGGCAGAGGCAGG